ACAACCCGCUGAAUUUAAGCAUAUUACUAAGCGGAGGAA
rnacentral:rRNA from 1 species